CUCAGAACUGUGGGGUCGCCUGGACAAACCCAGUCCCAAGAACCAGCCUUGACUACUGUGGUUUCGUGGAAAAACCUUCCAGGACCCAUGUGGGGGCGCCACUGCCCCCGCUGAUUAGCUUCUUCACGGCAGCCAAUUUUCAGAGAUCACUGAAAGAGGAAAGCAUGAUUCACUGUGCUUGUGAAGAAUUAGAUCAAUCCGUGGGCAAUCAAGACCUGCUUAACAAGCCACCUACUCAGUUGUUGUA